rnacentral:rRNA from 1 species
GUGCCAGCCGCCGCGGUAAUACGUAGGUGGCAAGCGUUAUCCGGAAUUAUUGGGCGUAAAGCGCGCGUAGGCGGCUUUUUAAGUCUGAUGUGAAAGCCCACGGCUCAACCGUGGAGGGUCAUUGGAAACUGGAAAACUUGAGUGCAGAAGAGGAAAGUGGAAUUCCAUGUGUAGCGGUGAAAUGCGCAGAGAUAUGGAGGAACACCAGUGGCGAAGGCGACUUUCUGNGUCUGUAACUGACGCUGAUGUGCGAAAGCGUGGGGAUCAAACA